GAUGAACGCUGGCGGCGUGCCUAAUACAUGCAAGUCGAGCGAACAGACGAGGAGCUUGCUCCUCUGACGUUAGCGGCGGACGGGUGAGUAACACGUGGAUAACCUACCUAUAAGACUGGGAUAACUUCGGGAAACCGGAGCUAAUACCGGAUAAUAUAUUGAACCGCAUGGUUCAAUAGUGAAAGGCGGUUUUGCUGUCACUUAUAGAUGGAUCCGCGCCGCAUUAGCUAGUUGGUAAGGUAACGGCUUACCAAGGCAACGAUGCGUAGCCGACCUGAGAGGGUGAUCGGCCACACUGGAACUGAGACACGGUCCAGACUCCUACGGGAGGCAGCAGUAGGGAAUCUUCCGCAAUGGGCGAAAGCCUGACGGAGCAACGCCGUGUGAGUGAUGAAGGUCUUCGGAUCGUAAAACUCUGUUAUUAGGGAAGAACAAAUGUGUAAGUAACUAUGCACGUCUUGACGGUACCUAAUCAGAAAGCCACGGCUAACUACGUG
rnacentral:rRNA from 1 species